rnacentral:misc_RNA from 1 species
AACGCAUAUGGCACCCGAGACCUCGGUCAAGGGUAUGUCUGCCUCAGAGUCGGCGUAAACAACUCUCCUGGUUGACCCCAAGGAGGAACUGACCUUCCCGCACCGUCGGUGCGGGUCUGUCGAAGGCGAGAAACGGGUAACGCUGGCCGGGACCGUUCCCGACCUGCCGAGAUUUGUUGGAAGGAGCACAGCUCCCACAUCGUCUCGUGCACUGGGUUACGGCGAGUGCUACGAUUACCCGCGAUGCAGGAAAUAUUGGCCUUGUCUAUCAGGCUUGGCCUCGUGCAUCCGACCUGAGUUCAGGCAAGAUCACCCGCUGAACUUAA